UUCUUAUCGAGAGAAGCAGAGGGACCUGGCCCAAUGAAGCUUCGGCAGCAGGCAGACUGCACUGUGCCAAAUCCAGCAGGCGAUAGCCUGAAAGAUAAGGA
rnacentral:ncRNA from 2 species